rnacentral:lncRNA from 1 species
CGUGAUACUGUGAACUAAACUUGCUAUUAUUUAUCUUUAUUUUUCUCUUGCUCCAGCAUAAAGCCAAGGUAGAAGCAAUGACCUUAGACCUUGCUUCUCUUCACAGUGUGCAGCACUUCGCUGAAGCAUUCAAGUCCAAGAAUGUGCCUCUUCACAUACUGAUCUGCAAUGCUGCCAUUUUUGGUGCUCCCUGGUGCUUGACAGAAGAUGACCUGGAGUCCACCUUCCAGGUGAAUCACUUGGGGCAUUUUUAUCUUGUUCAGCUCCUUGAAGACGUUCUACGCCAUUCAUCUCCUGCAAGAGUAGUUGUGGUAUCCUCAGAAUCACACAGAUUUACAGAAAUUAAAGACUCCUCUGGAAAACUUGACUUCAGCCUGCUUUCUCCACCUAAGAAGGAGUAUUGGGCUAUGCUGGCCUACAACCGUUCCAAGCUUUGCAAUAUACUGUUCUCCAACGAGCUGAACCGACGCCUUUCUCCCCACGGGGUGACGUCUAACGCCGUCCAUCCUGGAAACAUGAUGUACUCCUCGAUUCAUCGGAACUGGUGGGUGUAUACCCUGUUGUUUACCUUGGCUCGACCUUUCACCAAAUCCAUGGUAAGUGAAUGA